rnacentral:lncRNA from 1 species
AUGUUUCCCUACAUCCCCCAUCACCCUCUCCCAGAAGGAUCUGCAGGAUGCUCUGGCCUGGGUGUAACAGCAGCACCCUCUGUUUAUAAUGGGUUACAAUCAACUGAAUGUCUUAACCUUCUGUGCGUAUGUGUUCGUGUGUGUGUGUUUGUGUGUCUGUUUUGUAAAAGUCAAUCAACGACUGAGGAAGGAGAACAGGAAGUCUGCAUCAGAGGACCGAAGGACUCAGCUUCUGUGGUCAGUAAACACUCCUACGACGCACGUACAGACACACACACACACACACACACACACACACACACACACACACACACACACACACACACACACACACACACACACACACACACACACACACACACACACACACACACACACACACACACACACUGUGGUAACAACAACCACAUAAACAUCAUAUGUACAUUUUUAAUACAAACACACGCACAAACAACACACACAUACACACACACACACAAAUGUGUGUCAUUAUCAUUUUGGAUAAUAUUCUUUAUAUGUGUUCCUAAAGAUGAGUUCAUAUUUAUUCUUCUCUCUGCUCUCCAGGUGAGUUCAGGGAAAGAAGUCUACAUCCAAGGGACUGGAGGAAGUGACAUCACCGAAGACAUGUCACAACAGAUCUUCCACGAGGGUGGCCAAGAUGGCCGAUCAGUCCUGGGGAUGGUGGCGGUGCAGGUGGAGGUGGACCCCCGGACGGGCGCCACCGUGGUCCGCUCCGUGGCGCCCAUGUCGGCGCCGGUGGGCGCCAUGGCGACCACGGUGUUCGACGACGGCCGCAAGAGCGUGCACGCCAUCGGCGGGGGCGGCGCCCAGCCCUCGGCGGAGGAGCUGGGCCGCAUCCUGAGCGCCAUCGACGGCGUGGGGAUGACGGUGCUGCUGGACGACGUCGCCGUGACGACGAGCGCGAGCGCGGCGUCGGACGCCAGCGCCGGAGAACGUUCCCGGGGGUCCCCGGCGGCCGCGGGGUCCGUGGACGCAUCGCCGCGCGUCGUCGAGGUGAGGGGCGGAUCGGGGGGCGGGGCCCAGGUCGGGGAGACGGGAGCGGAGGAGGGAGGGGGCGUGGCCGUCACCCGCGGCCAGGUGGAGUCUGCCAUGACGGUGAGGGAGGCGGCCGGUCAGCCAAUCGUCACGGAGGAGGCGCCGGGGGCGGGGCCGGACUACGAGACCCCGGUGGUCCUGACCUUUCUGGGCUACGCCGACUCCGACCAGCGGGAGGGGCCGGAGGGCGUGGCCCUGGGCCGAGACGACCGGGGGGGCGUGCUCACCGUGGAGCGAGUGGUCAUCGACGCCGGGGACGAAGACGGCGACGAAGAGGAGAAGGAGGAGGUUCUGGAGCCCUCCGUGAACGGGGGUCCCGCGGGGCCGGGCGGGGCCCCUGAGCAGGACGGAGCGUUCCAGGAGGUCCGGCUGGACGGGAGCGUGAAGCGGGCCCCGGCCAAGGGGGCGGAGCCUGACAAGGUGCCCUCGGAGCCGGCCACACCCAAGGAGGGGAGCAAGGAGACAGAGGAGUCCUCCAAACCCAAGGCCUGUCAAUGCUGCUCUGUCAUGUAGCAGGGAGGGGGAGGAGAGAAGGAGAGGGAGAAAUAAAGAAAGGAAACGAGAAAGUACCGCAAACCACUUCUGCCUCCUGUUGGACAAAACUGAGAACUACAACGAGGGAGAGGGAGAGGGAGAGGGGGAGAGAGGGAGAAAGGGAGAGAGGAAGAGAGGGAGAGAUUGAGAGAGAGAGAGAGAGAGAGAGAGAGAGAGAGAGAGAGAGAGAGAGAGAGAGAGAGAGAGAGAGAGAGAGAGAGAGAGAGAGAGAGAGAGAGAGAGAGAGAGAGAGAGAGAGAGAGAGAGAGAGAAUUUGCCACAGAUCAUAGCAUGUUAUAUGCUGUUUUAUUUAACCUGAUUAAUCUAAGAAAUAACAAACAAACAUUGCCAUGGCUGCCUCUUACAUUAUAUUUGACAAUACAUGAUAAUUUCAUGACAUUCAUUUCAUUCAAAUAAACAUAACAUUAACAUUGUGUUCAGGUUAGUAUUACACAACAUGAUUAUAAUUGAUCAUUUAGUUCAUUCUGCAGAUGCAGAUCGAACAUAUUGUGUACGAAAUAGGUACAACGCCUUGCAGUGACCACAGACGACAUCAUACUAAGAUAAGAGAAAAGUUCGCUGGAUAACAAUUGUGUUUUGGUUUGUUCAUCCAAGUGGAAAGCGGUGGACUACUACAACCACUACUCUAUCCGCGUGGCCGAGAACAGAGCACUUGUUUUGAGGAACGGUGACUGAAUUACCGCUGAAGCGUAUUUAAUGUAAACCAUGCUCGCCCCCUGCUGGAAGACAAGGAGAACUACAAUGACCGGGGCUCGCAUACAGGCUUGAGCCAAGAAAUCACGCAUCACUCACAUGGCUUAAGAGCCCAAAGGAAGAAUUGUAUUCGUUACGGUACAAAUCGACUGUGUAUCCUACGUUAUAUCCAAAGGAUACAAAGCAUUUAAUUGAAUAAAAUAUCUUCAUAUCCCACUUUUAACAUUACAAUAUUGAAAUGUUACUCAUGUUUCUUUGGGGUUAUUUUUUAACCAGUUUUUGACCACUUGACUGUAGCUGCUGGAGAAUUGUGAUCAACUGGACAACUGGAAUGUAUCAUUAAAUAAUGUUGUUUGAAAGGGUUGUUGUUUCCUUAUUUUUGUUGAUGACCGCUGGAAUCUGUCGACUCGUAUCCUGAUCCUCAGGUCAGCUGACAGAAAGCAGGUGUGCGAGUCCUGCAGGUGUUAAUCAGGUUCAUAAGCCCCAAGGCUCAUAUCGGUGUCUCUGAGGUGAGUACAGGGGGGUCACCGUCCAACACGCCAGCUCUCAAACAGGUUGGUGCUUUCAUACUAGGGUUCUCUCUCUCUCUCUCUCUCUCUCUCUCUCUCUCUCUCUCUCUCUCUCUCUCUCUCUCUCUCUCUCUCUCGCCUGUUCCUUUGAAAUUGGGGGUACUUUGUUCAGUAAAAUGUAGAUGUUAAGUCUAUGUUUUCUUUAGACCUAUAAACACCCAUCCCACAAGAACAGCAAUCUUUACUUACAUCCUAGUAAUUGAAAAACAACCUACUCAUUCACUCAAAACAAAUAUAAAUGACAAUGAAGGAAAGUCUAAUGCAAAAUGUUUGCUUUA